CGCGCGUCCAACGGUAAUGAUGAAACUCCUGCUCUGGUCCGGGCUACCGGUGAACAGCGCCCAGCGGGCCGGGCCCCCAACCUCGCUCCUGAGCCUGAACAUCCCCCCAACCCCACCGUGAGAAUUCAGCGAAGAGUAAAAGCUGGAAAAAGUUGCGUGUCUUAGGCUAAGCAGAACAAAGUGGGGUGACGGCUCCCCGGCUAGGAACAGAGAUGCCCUUAGGGAGCCCUCUGAUGGAAGAGCUCUCCGCUUAAGAAGGUCACCACUCCCUUACACUCAGCCCCCCUCAAUCUGAUUCCCUGCUAUGCCUGCCAUCACCACUGGCCAGUUUUACCACAUGCUUCUCAAGACCCAAGGCACAAUAGGCAUAAAGUUGUCCUGAAAAGGACAAGAGGAGUGUCAGAAGUAGGAAUGGCAGUUGAAGGAGCUUCGUCUGCCAGCAGAAAGCUGAAAUGACAGGAAGACAGAAUGUCUUGUCAAGGGUCACCCCAGGAGGAGGAGUAAAUUCCCCAAAAAGCGGAACAUAUUUUUAUGAUUUAAUUAAUACAAUUUCU
rnacentral:lncRNA from 1 species